rnacentral:tRNA from 1 species
CGCGCGCUUGCGGCAGCAGACGCCCUCGUUGAUCGAGGGCCUGGCCACACGCGGGUGGCUGAUCCGUACGAUCCGGAUCCGCGUGA